AGAGAACAAAGAGAAUGGGUGAAAAGGAUUGAACGUUUCAAGAUUUUUACUGUGGAGAAAAAUGAAAAAAAAAAAAUGAAGGAAAAAAAACGCUCAACAGGCUUCAUUUGGUUAGUGACAACCAUUAUGCCUGGUUGGAGGAUAACAGAACACAUUACACCUCACUGCUGUUUGGCCUCCCACAGACAUAGUUUGCGUCUGUCGUUGACGUGUCCAAGGAGAAACUGAUGCUGAUCCAAGCCCGGGAGGACCUGCUGCUCGGAGGGGUAGACGUUUGACCACAAGGCUAACACGUGCCACACCACCUGUCCAGUCCUGUCCAGUCCUGUCCAGUAAGUGAAGGUGGAGCAGUUCCACAGCAUGUUUGCAGGGGAGUUUUUCUACAUCGGCAUGGCCAGCAACGUCCACCUCUCUGCACAUUCGUCCCCCUGUGACGGUUCAUAAAGUGCAGCAGUAUCGAACAGAAAGCUCACAUUCACUGGAUGCCCUCCUGGACAGCAUGUCGGAAUGUUGAGUUGGGGGUUUUUUGCCACAGGAACAUAACCACUUGCACGAAGGGCACGUUCACUCAAGAGCAGCUUCAGGACAACUUCUCUUACGUCAUAGGUUGUGCGGAAGUAUGUGUUCUUAGUGGAGGAGGUUCUGUUCCGGCCUAACUCUGCCUCCAGUGACCUGCAUAUCUCCUACUACAGCAUUACAGACUACUUCUGCCCCCUGCUGGUCUACCACGAUACCCCCUGGAUACCCUCCAUGGAGCUCUACUAUACGCUGACCACUACAUUCAGUGUGCACGGGGCAUUCCUUCCUCGCCCUCUGCCAUCUGGUGUGGCACUGGGCAUCUUCCCGGGCCAUCUUUGUGGUCCUGCUGCUCAUCGGCUUUCUCCUCAGCCAGCGCGCUCACCAUAAUAGGAUGGACACACACUUUACACACAAAGCACAACACAUUCAGAUGUUUUUUUGUCAAACACACGCACUCCCAAUACAACCCAAAACAGGAGAAAACACGCAUGUCCUCUGAGCAGCGUGAAAUAAAUGUGAUGAGCUGUUCAGCAUGAACUCUGUCAGUAAUUGAUCCCUGCCUUUUUGUCUUGUUUUUGAUUGAUUUAGAAAGUGUUUUCAGUUUUAGGAACACAGUUAGUUGAUCUGAAAUCUGUUGAUAUUGGAAAUUAUACAUUUGCAUAAAGCUUUUUUAAUGCUG